rnacentral:rRNA from 1 species
UUUGAUCAUGGCUCAGAUUGAACGCUGGCGGGAUGCUUUACGCAUGCAAAGUCGAACGGCGGCACGGACUUCGGUCUGGUGGCGAGUGGCGGGCCGGGUGAUAAUGUAUCGGAACGUGCCUAGUAGCGGGGGGAUAACUACACAGCGUAGCUAUUCCGCAUACGCCCUUCGGGGAAAGCGGGGACAUUCGGGCCUCGCACUAUUAGAAACGGCCGAUAUCGGAUUAGCUAGUUGGUGGAGUAACGGCUCACCAGGCGACGAUCCGUAGCUGGUUCCGAGAGGACGACCAGCCACACUGGGACUGAGACCUGGCCCAGACUCCUACGGGAAGGCAGCAGUGAAAUUUUGGACAAUGGAAACCUGAUCCAGCCAUCCCGCGUGCGAUGAAGGCCUUCGGGUUGUAAAGCACUUUUGGUAGGAAAGAAACAGCUGGAUAAUACCCCGUGCAACGGGCGAUGAAUCAGCACUAUUCAACUACGUACCAGCGACGCGGUAAUACGUAGAGGGUGCAAGCGUUAAUCGGAAUUACUGGGCGUAAAGCGUGCGCAGGCGGUUCCGGAAAAGAAAGAUGUGAAAUCCCAGGCUUAACUUUGGAGCACAUUUUAACUACCGAGCUAGAGUGUGUCAGAGGGAGGUGGAAUUCCCGCGAUAAUAGCAGUGAAAUGCGUAGAUAUGCGGAGGAACACCGAUGGCGAAGGCAACCUCCUGGGAUAACACUGACGCUCAUGCACGAAAGCGUGGGGAGCAAACAGGAUUAGAUACCCUGGUAGUCCACGCCUAAACGAUAUCAACUAGCUGUUGGGGCCUUCGGGCCUUGCAGUAGCGCAACUAACGUGAAGUUGACCGCCUGGGAAAUUACGGUCGCAAGAUUAAAACUCAAAGGAAUUGACGGGGACUCGCCUGGCGGUGGACCUGAUGUGGAUUAAUUCGAUGCAACGCGAAAAACCUUACUACGCCGGUAACAUGGAAUCCCGAAGGAAGUUGGGAGUGCUCGCAAGAGAACCGGAACACCAGGUGUUGCAUGGCUGUCGUCAGCUCGUGUCGUGAGAUGUUGGGUUAAGUCCCCGCAACUGGCGCAACCCUUGUCAUUAGUUUGCUGCGGGCACUCUAAUGGGACUGCCGGUGACAAACCGGAGGAAGGUGGGGAUGACGUCAAGUCCUCAUGGCCCAUAUGGGUAGGGCUUCACACGUCAUACAAUGGUCCGGGACAGAGGUCGCCAACCCGCGAGGGGGAGCCAAUCCAGAAACCCGAUCGUAGUCCGGAUCACGGUCUACGCUCGACUGCGUGAAGUCGGAAUCGCUAGUAAUCGCGGAUCAUGUCGCGGUGAAUACACGUUCCAGGUCUUAUACACACACCGCCCGUCACACCAUGGGAGUGGGUUUUACCAGAAGUAGUUAGCCUAACCGUAAGGAGGGCGAUUACCACGGUAAAGUUCAUGGCUAGGGUGAAGUCGUAACAAGGUAA